rnacentral:rRNA from 1 species
AACGAACGCUGGCGGCAUGCCUAACACAUGCAAGUCGAACGAAGCCUUCGGGCUUAGUGGCGCACGGGUGCGUAACACGUGGGAAUCUGCCCUUCGGUUCGGAAUAACAGUUAGAAAUGACUGCUAAUACCGGAUGAUGACGUAAGUCCAAAGAUUUAUCGCCGAAGGAUGAGCCCGCGUAGGAUUAGGUAGUUGGUAGGGUAAUGGCCUACCAAGCCGACGAUCCUUAGCUGGUCUGAGAGGAUGAUCAGCCGCACUGGGACUGAGACACGGCCCAGACUCCUACGGGAGGCAGCAGUGGGAAUAUUGGACAAUGGGCGAAAGCCUGAUCCAGCAAUGCCGCGUGAGUGAUGAAGGCCUUAGGGUUGUAAAGCUCUUUUACCAGGGAUGAUAAUGACAGUACCUGGAGAAUAAGCUCCGGCUAACUCCGUGCCAGCAGCCGCGGUAAU